ACCAGGGUGAAACUAAAGACGGACAUUACGCUUCUGCUCCUCCUGAUGAAUCCAGCCUCACAUAUUCUGUGGUUGAGCUCAAACACCUUAAAAAGAAGGAGAAGCACGAUGAACCAGACGAGAGCCCCGUUUACUCGGAUGUGAGGAUCCCAUCAGCUGCAGGAAAAUCCAGAUGUGCAGCAGAAGAGGAAACUCUUUAUUCUGAAGUCAAACCAGGAACAUCUGAUCAAUAAAGACGUCCGUGUGGACAAAACCACCGACAUGAAAAACAAUCUCUUCAGGAUAUAAGAUGUGUCCUUAAACAGCUACAGAGCAGACAGCUUGGUGUUCUGUGGAAGCCUCUUCCCUUGUUGUAGUCUGCUUUGGAUGGAUGAGGUUCUGGUUAAAAAGGAUCAUGUGAUCUUUGCAGGUUUCUUCAUCGUAUCCAGAGAGGUAGAGUCCAAAAAAAGAGCGUUGAUCUUUCUUUCCCCGAUACGUUAGCGUAGCAGAGAGCCGUGAUACUUCCCCCGGGGACACGAGAACCCUUCAUCUCAUGGAGCCAUUUCAUUAUCUGACAAACAGUUUUAGGUUUGUGAGGUUGUUUUUGUUGCUGCUUAUUAUAUAUUAUAAUUACAGUCUGCUGAGUGCUACUGAAAUUCAUUUUAAAUGUUAGAUAUAGUCUGAAGUAGCGUAAAGUCUUUUGCUUGCAUCCUUAAAUCCCUAUAAUACUUUUUUUCCAGUAAAAGUGGAUAAAUAGAAUCUCACAUGGAGUGUUUGUCUCUUUUCUGCCUGAGAUUGUAUAUUUUUUCCUGCAUACUUACAGACGUCUGGAGAUGUCAGAAGACUUUUAGUGCUGCAAAAAUAAUGGAUCCAUUUCAAAGGGAAUGUUAGCAACUGAUGUCUGUAAGAAAGCAAAAAUCAAAAGCUUUAAGACUAAUCAGCAAACUCCUGCCAUCCUCCUUUAUCGUACUGAGAGAUCUAAAUAUGAUCUAUUAGUUACUGAACACAGCUUUGUUAUGGAGAACUGAACUCAAUUGAAAACAUUAAAUUCCCAUUAAGGGAUUUUUCUCCUCGAAAAAAACUGCAGAUUUUCCAAUAAAAUCCACUAAAAUACCAUUUAAUAUCAUCCACCUUCGCCGAGUUAUUCUUAACACGGAGGCUAUUUCUACAUGUGAUUACUUUAAGGUGCCUCGAUUGAUAAAUAAGUCCCUUUCUGCACUUUCCAGACUUUGAGAGAGAGAAAUGUGACUCAGCUAAGAAGCUUUAAACUCUUAAACUCCUCUUCAUGUGUAACUCAUAGAGGUUUGAGUUCAGGCCACAGACAAAACGCUGUGAUUUCCAGGCAGUGGAAGAAAGUCACAGAAGCCACAUGAGUCGUGGAAGAAGUAGAAAGUGAGCUGAUGGUUGGGGGAGGAUGCAUGAGGGAUGCAGCGUCUGCAGUCACCACUGGGGGGCAGUGAUGCACUAAAAGGCCCAACAAUGCACCUCCUAUGUUUGCCCACCUGUAGCUCUUCUGCCUUCAUCAAUUAGGUGGCUGAGGAUGACGAGGGGAAUCGGUCACAGCAAAGACUCAUCGCUCAGCGUGUAAAUGAUGCGUUUCUGUAGUUUGUGCUGUCAAAGCUAUUAUGGGAACUCUGGAUUAUUUAACCAGAUGAAAGUGUAUCUUUCUGAAUAUUAAAAAAUGCAGAUUUAUCUCCCAUUCUACAUUAUGAGGGUUGUUUUAAUCACAGCUGUGGGUCAAUAAAGCGAACCAAUGACUUAA